GACGUAGGAGGCGAGCGUUGUCCGGAUUCAUUGGGCGUAAAGAGCACGUAGGCGGUUUGGCAAGUCGGAUGUGAAAACCCGAAGCUCAACCUCGGGCCUGCAUCCGAAACUGCCCGACUAGAGGUAGGUAGGGGAGAUCGGAAUUCCUGGUGUAGCGGUGAAAUGCGCAGAUAUCAGGAGGAACACCGGUGGCGAAGGCGGAUCUCUGGGCCUUACCUGACGCUCAGGUGCGAAAGCUAGGGGAGCGAACAGG
rnacentral:rRNA from 1 species